rnacentral:rRNA from 1 species
UACGUAGGAGACGAGCGUUGUCCGGAGUUACUGGGCGUAAAGGGUGCGCAGGUGGCGGCGCGCGUGGGGGGUGAAAUCGCCCGGCUUAACUGGGCGGGGGCCUUCCAGACGGCGUGGCUUGAGCAGCGGAGGGGGACGUGGAAUUCCGGGUGGAGCGGUGAAAUGCGUAGAGAUCCGGAGGAACACCGACGGCGAAGGCAGCGCCCUGGGCGAGACCUGACGCUCAGGCACGAAAGCUGGGGGAGCAAACAGG